rnacentral:misc_RNA from 1 species
AUUUCCUUCUCCAAUAUGAAAUCCCUAGUAGAAUUAGAGAUGAACUUAGCAGAAAGGAGAUCCCUAGUGCUGUUCGAGAAGGACUUAAAAGAGAUACCUACAUUCCCUAUUUCAUGACAUUGUUGAACAUGGAAGAAAUACAAUUGGAGGAAGACAUGAGAGCUUAUGAUAUGGAGCGUGUUACUAUGAGAAGAAAGGGACAUAACUUUUUGUCCCUCGAGGUUCCGGGGCUCGCUG